UCUAUUUUCGGUUCGAAUAGUACACUAUAAACCAGAAAAUAGCCGGAAAACCGGUUCUCAUUUGGUUUCGGUUUGGUUAUUUCGGAUAGUUCCGGUAAUUUGGGUUAAAUAUCAGAUAUUUUGGAUAAAAUAUCAAAUAAUAAGAAUGAUUCGGAUAAAAUCUCAAAUAUUUCUGAUUAUUUUAGAUAUUUUGGAUAAAAAUAUCCGGAUACUUUCGAAUGAUUUCGGGUAGGUCGGAUUUUUUAUAAGAAUUUAGUUUUCUUCAAAUAUUUUUGAUACUUUUAAUAUAUUUUUAAAUUAUAAACAUAUAUUUAGUUAUGUUAUAUAUAUAUAUAUGUUAUAUAUAUAUAUAUAAUUAAUAUUUUUAUAUAUUCGAGUAUUUGUUCGAUUUUGGUUCGGUUUCAGUUCGUUUGAUUAUUUCGGAUAUAGAAAUAUAUGAACCAUUAGGAUAUUUGAGAGUUUCGGUCCGAUUCCAGUUUCAAAUAUUUCGGUUCGGUUUCGAUUCAGAUCUUUGGUUCCGGUUUUUUUGUCCAGGCCUAAUCAAACCUUUACAAAAUUUACCUUCUUCAUUUUUGGGAUAACCUGUGAAGAAAAACCGGACAACUGUGAAGUAGAUUUAUUGGUACUUUAAGGAUACAUCUGAUGUUAAUCUCGUUUAUGGAGGCGAAAACCCACGAUUGUUAUAUGCUAUUUUGAUUCUGACUAUGCUGGAGUUGUGGACAGCAAAAAAUAUAUGAAAGGUUAUUUGUUCACCUUUGGUGGUUAUGUGGUUAGCUGGAAGGCGACUCUGUAGUCGCAGUGACUUUGUCUACUACUUAGGUAAAGUAUAUAGUAUUAACAAACGCUGCAAGUGAAGGAAAAAUGGCUGAGACGAUUGGUUAAUGAUAUCAGGCUACUGUGUAUUGCGACAGUUUGAUGAUAUAUGCUUAGCCAAAAGAUCAUAUUUACCAUAAGAGAACCAAGCAUAUUGACGUGAGGUUUAAUAAUUGCUUGGACUUGUUGAACAUCUCGACAUGUUAGUCUAGCACGAAGGGUCAUAUGGUCUGAAAGGAUAUUUUACCUGAAGAGGCAUCUGGUCCGAAAGGAGAUUCGUUGAUGUGCUUUGAAUCUUGAUGUUGAAUCUAGUUAAUGGAUUGCAUGAAGUACUCUUCAUCAAGUGUAUUGCAUAAGUUGUUGGAAGUUGCAUAUGAUAUUAUUGGACUUAAAAUCUACAAGUCUAAUGUGCGGUUUGUAUUCUUGUACCCCUAAUAUGAGUUAUACAUAGCCUCUAAAUAAUAAAAUUUCUCCUUGCAUUGCAUGUGGGGGUAUGCAACUUAGCGAACCACAUUAAUCACUGUGUUCUUUAUUUCUCGCCUUUAUACUUAUAUUUACGCAUAUGUUCCUUCACAGAGACCUAGCGAGCUAUCUCGGCUUAUCCCAUUACUCCAAUUCGGAUUAGCGUAUUGGUGACGGUGGGGAGACCUAGCGAGCAAUCUCGCGCAUCCCAUCAAUCCAAUUCAGAUUUGCGUAAUGGCGAGAGUGUUCCAUAAUGUCAGCGAGAGAUGAGAUACCAUAAGCGCAUACAAUUCCCAUGAAAUGCAUACCUCCAAGAACAACGGUAUAUAAGUGGGAAGCUAUGAAGACUCUGUAACAACAGACCCUCUAUAUAAGUGGGAAGCUAUGAUAGAGAGAACCAUGAGCAAAGAUAAGACAUUUGUAUUACCAUUACACGAGAAUUGAUUAAAGUAUUAGCUUUUUAACCAACAGAAAAGAAACAAAACAUGACUCUUUAGAGAAUGUCUCCAGACCAAACAGACCAAAACCCAUAAAGCAAGACUUCUUUGUUCCAACUAUAUAUAUCCCAGAAUUAAGAAACUUUUGCUCUUCUUCCCGAGAGAUAAUGAUGAAACAGACGCCAGGCAAUCGAAACUGUAUUCCCUCA